UAUUUGUAGUUUUAUGGUAAGUUAGCCACAACGUUCCCUAACGCGAUGGUUUUCUAAUGGAAAAUAUACCUGAAAGAUAACCUGUCUAUGAUGCAAACACCGGGCUGGGACAUUUCUGC